GCUUAGGGAAGAGCUUGCGUCACAUUAGUUAGUUGGUGGGGUAAUGGCCUACCAAGACGAUGAUGUGUAGCCGGGCUGAGAGGUCGAACGGCCACAUUGGGACUGAGACACGGCCCAAACUCCUACGGGAGGCAGCAGUAAGGAAUUUUCGGCAAUGGAGGAAACUCUGACCGAGCAAUGCCGCGUGAACGAUGAAGUAUUUCGGUACGUAAAGUUCUUUUAUUAGGGAAGAAAAGAUGGUGGAAAAACCAUUAUGACGGUACCUAAUGAAUAAGCCCCGGCUAACUAUGUGCCAGCAGCCGCGGUAAUACAUAGGGGGCAAGCGUUAUCCGGAAUUAUUGGGCGUAAAGGGUGCGUAGGCGGUUAAAUAAGUUUAUGGUCUAAGUGCAACGCUCAACGUUGUGAUGCUAUAAAAACUGUUUAGCUAGAGUUGGAUAGAGGCAAGUGGAAUUCCGUGUGUAGUGGUAAAAUGCGUAAAUAUACGGAGGAACACCAGAAGCGAAGGCGGCUUGCUGGGUCUUAACUGACGCUGAGGCACGAAAGCGUGGGGAGCAAACAGGAUUAGAUACCCUGGUAGUCCACGCCCUAAACGAUGAGUACUAAACGUUGGAUAAAACCAGUGUUGAAGUUAACACAUUAAGUACUCCGCCUGAGUAGUACGUACGCAAGUAUGAAACUUAAAGGAAUUGACGGGACUCCGCACAAGCGGUGGAUCAUGUUGUUUAAUUCGAAGGUACCCGAAAAACCUCACCAGGUCUUGACAUGCUUUUGCAAAGCUGUAGAAAUACAGUGGAGGUUAUCAAAAGCACAGGUGGUGCAUGGUUGUCGUCAGCUCGUGUCGUGAGAUGUUGGGUUAAGUCCCGCAACGAGCGCAACCCUUGUUGUUAAUUGCCAUCAUUAAGUUGGGGACUUUAGCAAGACUGCCAAUGAUAAAUUGGAGGAAGGUGGGGACGACGUCAAAUCAUCAUGCCCCUUAUGACCUGGGCUACAAACGUGAUACAAUGGCUGUUACAAAGGGUAGCUAAAGCGUAAGCUUCUGGCGAAUCUCAAAAAAGCAGUCUCAGUUCGGAUUGAAGUCUGCAACUCGACUUCAUGAAGUUGGAAUCGCUAGUAAUCGCGAAUCAGCAUGUCGCGGUGAAUACGUUCUCGGGGUUUGUACACACCGCCCGUCAAACCACGAAAGUUGGCAAUACCCAAAGCCGGUGGCCUAACUUGAGCAAUCAAGAAGGAGCCGUCUAAGGUAGGGUUGAUGAUUGGGGUUAAGUCGUAACAAGGUAUCCCUACCGGAAGGUGGGGAUGGAUCACCUCCUUUCU
rnacentral:rRNA from 1 species